rnacentral:misc_RNA from 1 species
UGGUCAUCUAAACAAACAUCAAAAUUCAAGAACAUGAGAAUACACAGGACGAAAAUUUAUCUUCAAAUAUCUGUUUGACUCAAAACUAGCUCAUACUAAGAUAUAUAAACAUGAUUAGUUAGCAUAUAUGACCAUAGAUUUUAAAAAUUUAUCUUCGAGUAUAUGUUUGACAGUGAAAUUCGAUUCCAAACAUCAUAAGUGGCCUAAGUUUG